UUAUGGUUGUGUUUGGGCGCUCAGACUCAGAGCUCUUGGUGAAGUUUAGGAAAAGUCUGUGGUUUUGGUUAAAUAAUAAUAAAAAUAAAAUAAAAAAAACUCUAAGUGGAACCAUGAGACAGGAUGUUUUUACUUUCAAAUAUUUAACCCAAACCACGACCUUCCUCUAAACCUGGAGCUUUCUUCACAGGAAACCGACUCUGCCAGUGAACAUGUUUGCAGGAAACAAUUUCCCUUCAGUCAAAACAAAUAAAGAGACCAUCACUGUAAUGAACCGAAGACACGGUUUAUAAAUCUGUGUUUGCACUGAGAGAGAGUGUGUGUGCAGGUAUAUUUGGUAUUACACACACACCUUUUACACACUCUGUUGUGUAAGAGUUUAGGUGUCACCUUAUAUCCCUGUGAUACUGGAGUUUAGCACGUAUACAGGUAAACAAACGCACCUGGAACGGAUGGCUUUGUGUUGAGAAGUGUCCCACUUCAGGGUCACACACACACACACACACACACACACACAUGUUUUGUUGCAGAAAGUGUGUCACCGUCGUCUUUCACCUCCUUUCUCUUUCCUGUCUUUGUAAAGCGCUGACUCUACCUGAGAUAAAGAGAGGCCUCUGAGUGAGUGACAGAGUUUAUGUGGACCCAUCAGAGGACGCUCACGGUCAGAGGGGCGUCCAAACACUCGCAGUCGAAUAUUUAACACACACACACACACACACACACACACACACACACAAUAAUCAAAUCUGACCACGGCGACAGUGUGAGCGGAAACGGUCGAAAACAGAGAAGCAGUAAAUCCAUUUCACUUUUCAAGGCCAGCAGGUCAUUGGGUUAGUGUUACCUGCAGCGCCGCUUCUCCGUACGCUGAUAAGAGAUCACAGGCGAUGUAUGCAUCUGUGUGUGUGUGUGUGUGUGUGACAGGGAGCUGAUCUCCUAUCAGAUCUCAAUAGACCAUGAACCAGUUAAACCCGGCCCCAUGAUCAGAUAACUCACACUUCUGAACAGCUCCAUCCAUCCACACCCAAACCGACUCAUAAAAGAGAUUUUAUACAAUCGAUUCAACAGGAAGGAGUUCAAACUUUUCCUCAUUUAAAGCUGUUUUUGUUUUCAUUUGUUGAGUCAUGAUAAAAAGCGUCCCGCUGUGACGUCCAGUCUGUGUCACAACAGCAGGACUUUCACCUCUCGUUGGGUUUUCUUCUAGACUGGACCCCCCGACGUCUUCUGACCUAAUUACACAACGAACAAGCGAACGGAGUGGGUUUAAUUUAGAGGUUUUGUUAUUAAUGAAGUUAUUAAUCUGGUUCUGAUUUACAGCCGACAGCUUGAGGCGGUGAAGGACACAGGGCCGCUGAUUAUUUUUUAUUGAUUUUUCCUUUUGAGGCUGACGGUAUUACAGAAAAAAAGGGUGAGGUGGGAGUCUGGAGGUUGUUUUGUCUGGUUUGGUGGAGUCGGUAUUUACAAAUCUUUAUUUUUAACCUUCUCUGUUUGUCUUGCAAUCUGGUUUUACAGCACAGCACUUUUAAAGGUCUUCAAUGAUAUUUGAUUGCUCAUUGAUUCUGGGGAUUCAGCUGUUCUGCAGCUUUUGACACUGUGGAUCCUGAGCUCCUCUGUCAGCCUUGGCGAUGCCACCUCCUCCUCAGAUCCUCUUCCAUGUGGAGCGCCCCAAGGCUCCAUACUUGGCCCAGUCCUUUUCUCCUUAUAUGUGCUCCUCCUGGGAUCUAUAUUUAAAAAUAUAACAUUUAUUUUCAUUUCUAUGCUGACGAUUCACAGCUGUAUUUACCCCUGAAAUUAGAAGCGUCCAACACCUUGGGCCCACUGUUGGACUGUCUGAGGGACAUUAAAACCUGGAUGGUUCUCCAUUUUCUGAAAUUAAAUAAGAGUAAAGCUCCUUACACACCGGGAGCAUUUUUUUCGUGCGAUUAUUUCGAUUUUGAAAUAAUUUAAUUUUCUGUUUUUAUUGUUUUUAAUUUUUACUGUACAGCACUUUGGUCAGCGUUUGUUGUUUUUAAAUGUGCUUCAUAAAUAUUGGAUUGGAUUGCACGUCUACGUCUUCGGUAACCUCGGUGGCGGUAAGCUUGCAGGGUUAGAUUUGGGACCUGAGGUGAUGAGGUGAAGGGGCAUCUAGAGGUGGGUCAGGACCGAGUCUGGUUGGAGCCAGAGUCUUAGAGGACACUUGGUCAGCAUUUCAAGAAGGACCCCGAGAGCGACUUGGGUUAUGGUGGUGGUCAUCUUGGAGGGUCAGAGCGCGGGGUUGGAGCUGGGGUUAAAGAGGAGAGGGGGGCCGCUGAGGGUCAUCUUGGCUCCAGGUCCGGGGGGGUAAUGGUAGUGGUCAGUUCCUGGCCUGGAGGAGCCUGAGGGCCUCUGCGGUGUCCAGGGGCCAGGAUGCGGCCAGGUCAGCGGGUGAUGGAUGAGGCUGAGGCUGCUCAUGGCAGGUGCCCACCAGCCCUGACCAGUCCAGCUUAAUCAGCAGAGGACCGGGACAACAGACCCUAUUUAACCCCCUAAUGACCGGUCACUCAAUCAGGACACACACACACUCACACACAGAGACACACACACACAUAUAGAUGAACAUUGUGGGUUCAGGAACAAUUAAAGAGCAGAUGUAAUUAAGACGGUCACAGCUGAGUGCGCUGAGCUGCUGCAGACUCUGAUCCAAUCAGUGUUUUCAUCAAACCGACAUCAGGGACCCAAGAGUCCGAGGAGGGACACAGAGUCCUGUACGGUACAGUGCUCUGUAGUCUAAGUACACACAUUCAGGUUGAGCUGCCCCGUUUUUGUCAGUUGAGCGUACUCGAGUCUGCAGUGACCCACUUUCUGCAAACGGCGGCCAUUGUUUCACUUCAUUCUGCUUCAUUAAACUAAAGAGUGUGUCUGUUUGGACUUCUCAGAUCUGCGUGAGGGACAAACCUGACCGGGGGCGGAUCUACAGGAGCGGCCUUCACACUCACAGAAACCUUUAAGCGUUUGUGUACGUAUGCGUGGGAUGACUCAGGGUGAUCACAUUAGUGAAAGUGUUAAUUGGACUGUUAAUAUCAGAGGUGUGAGGACAAUUACCAUGACAUUAAACUGAUAACAGAGGAGACCUUUGUGUAUUGGGAGUUUGUUUUCAUUAAAGAGAGCACGCACACACACACAAGCACACACACACACAUCUCUGCGGGUGUCCAACUAACUUAAGUACAAAUCAACAAAAAAAAAAAAAAAAAACACCUGAAUACAGUCUGAUGAACGAUAAAGAUGUCCUCAGAAAAUCAGAGUAACGUCAGAAGAUAUCUGAAUCAAUUUGUUGGUUUUAUUUGUCUUUUUUAAUGAUCUAUUUUAUCAGGACAUUUAAUUAAUUUUAUAUCUUCAUUUUUAUUUUCAUUACUGCCGUAUGUUUAGAUUGUUGGAUGUUGUUGUUUGAAUACAAAAAACAAUAAAGAAAUGUUUUUAAAAAAUAGAUAUAUGAAUAGAAAGUGGCAUAAGGAUCUUUUUUUUAUCUUUUCAUGUUGAGAUGAUUUUCAGUUCGCUGCAACAGACACUUUUACAUCAGUAUCAAAACGCAAACAUCUUAAAAUAAUUCUCUUUCCUCGACUCUGGUUGCAUUUUCUAAACCUGAUAUAUUGCUGUUUUACCUCCAUGCAUAAACUUCAUCAACAAUACUUCAGUUGGAAAGAAUCAGUAAGAAUGCAUCAUUGUUCUCAGAUAAGUGGGCAUCAUUAAACAGCCGCAAAAGGACAAAUGAGAGCAUGCUGGAGUGUCCAGACGACUCCUGCACGGUCACCUGCUGUAAAUAUUCAUGCUGCAUUUCCACACGACUGCUCACCACGACUUGAAGCGAUAAUCUAGCUUGCAUGUGUGGCGAGGAAAAGUCCCUGCAAAGUCAGGCUUGAAAAACUGCAAGUUUUGCAUUCAAAUAUGCAGCUCACCCAGAAAAUUUUUUAUAUAUUUUCAGGAGUUUUGGGCUCACGGUCAUACGUCCUCUUUUCCCCAGGCAUGUCCUCUUUUGGGGGGCUGUCCGGCCUUGUCCGCAAUGAGUUUAUAAAAUCCUUAAAUGUCCGGGAUUUCAUAUGGAAGCACGUUUCCACCAGUGAAGAAAAAAGGAUGAGACAAAAUGUCCACUUUUUUUUUUUAAAUUUUUUGGAAUUUAGAGUAGCGCGUAAAAACCGACCCAACCCAAAAAAAACCCUCAAAAUUUUGCACGCGCACAUAACUCCGCCCCAUGUAGUCGUGUCCUCUCUUUGGGGACUCAGAAUAUGGUCACCCCAUGAAUAUGUGUGUGAUGCAAAUUUGCAGGAUUCCUGUCGCAUUGCUUUUUUGAUGCAUCUUUGUAUUUGUUUGAGAUAUAGAGCCAAGUGAAGCAUGUUAGUUUCAGUUUAGUCUGCACACACCUUCAGAAUUGAAGAUAAUGCAGGGAAAGGAUUGAAGACAAUGAUGUUGUUUUGUGUGCACGUUAAAAAUAAAAGAGGAGACCUGCAGGUCGAAACGUUAAAGUGACACAAACAAAGAGCAGAGUCACUAUUAAUGAGAUAUUCUUCUAACCACAGACACACUGUGAGUCUUCAGUGUGAUUGUUGCACCACAGCGGUUUGUCCUCCGGCUUGUUAUAAAGGAAUCUACCAGGACAGGGGGUAACGUGACAUCAGGCAUGUGUGUGUGUGUGCGUGUGUGUGUGUGUUAUCUCCCUGCUGCUGCUGCAUGUGGUGACUCAUCCCAGUUUCCGCUGUUUACUGGAAUAUUGCUGGAACAUGUUUAUGUCCUGAAGUUUUUAAUGGCUACCUGAGAGCGAGUGCGGGAAGCCUCUGGGUCUCUUUUUUUCCCCCCCCUGACUUUGCUAAGUGCUUUAUAAAAGUUGAUUUAUUUUUGUUUUGUCGAAAGUUUCUUCGACUCCUCUCAGGACUGACGCUCAUUGUUGGCUGGAAGUGACGCACGCAGCAGUGAAGCAGACUCACAUGACCGCAAUGUUCAGCACUUAAACUGGAAAAAAAGAACAAAAUAAAAGACAAAAAAAGCUUUUAAAGUUGUUUUUCUUUUUUUUGUGUUUGAGCGUUUAAGAGUCGAUGGAAAGUUUUCUGGUGGGUUUGGUUCGUCUCCUCCUUGAAUUCACCAGAAUAGAUGCUGUUUUCGCCAAACCUAUGGCCUCUUCUUCUCUUCUGCUCGGGCUGCAUGGGAAUCAAAUUAUUUACCUGCUUCAUUCUCUCGUGAACUUGAACAUCUGAAUGGUGUGUGCGCACCAAUUCACUCCAGAAGUGUUUUUUUUUUCAACUCUUAAGGUCGUUACACACCAGCGAAUUAGUGAAGCGUCGGGAAAAAUUCGGUUUACGCCUUUUCCCUAUAAACACCUGGUGUGAUGCAAAUAAAAUUCACAUAUUCACAUAAAAAUAUGCCAGGUAAGAUUUAUAAUAGGCUGCAAAUUUAUAUAAAAGUUUGCUUGCAAAUUUUUUGCAAAAUUUGCUACAGGUGCAAAAAAAUAAGUAGCUUUUUCACUCUGAGGAAGUUCGUAGCAGGUACAGAAGCUUACAUCGACUUUAUGAGGUUUGAAAAAAUGGGAAUUAUUAACAAAGCAAAUUCAUCCCGGUGUGUAAUGACCUUAACAAAUACAGGAAAUACGCAAAGCAUGGAUUGCAGAUGUUUGUAAAUAUUUUGCACAAUCCUUACUUGCAUCAUUUGCAUGACCUACGACCUCUUGUCUCUUUUCUGCAUGCUUUGAAUCGCAACCUGAAAUUGCACCAAGACUCAUCAUAUCAGAUUAUUUUUGAGACUCAAAACCUUCAGAGAGACGAUUUAUUUAUCAUGUUAGCCACAGGAUACAUACGGUGGUCAGGAAGUGUCAGGCGAUUUAAAUAUCAAAACUUUCAGCAAAAGAAAAAAACAUGAAAGCAAAUAACGAUAAUUGAAAUGAUCUUGCAUGUGAUUUACUUUUCAUGUACGAUUAAUGCCUUUAAUGGGACUGUUGCUGGCACAUCGCCAAGCGGGCUUCUACAGCGAGCGAGGAUAUAGUCUUCUAUAAAAUUUACCGCCAUGGCUAAACAAAAGCCGCAACACCUUCAAAAAGAGUUUUUUUCUUAUGUGGCUAAACUUCAGACUCAUGACAUCAGAAUCAUAGACUGUAUAUAGAACGGACGCCGUCUGCCUCCUCGCUGGGUGAAGCCAAUGCGAAAACAGCACCCUCUGGUGACGGGCUGCAGUAUAGGUCAUAAAUCCGCCUCCUCAUGGAGCUGUGGACAAACUUUAUAAAUUCAUUACACAGAAUAUAAAUGUUUCUCCCCCCUGGUUGUGAUGUUGAUUGAGUAGCUCACCUCGGGGAUAUGUUGUUUGGGCCAAGCGUCAUCUCAGCGACACUCCCACUGAAUGCGAACAACGCUGCUGAGCAAUGUUGGUUUCAGGAAAUGGAGAAAAAAAUGUGGAAAUACCGAGAACUUUUCAGCUUUAAAUCCGUAUGAUGACGGAAAGAGGAAUCAAGUUAUCCAUACAGUCGAUGAUCAGUAUACAUACAUGUGGUGCACAGCGGAGUGCAUGCGCCGGGUAUUAGCAUUGGCGAGUUAUCGUCGGCGAUCAUACAGCUGAUUAAUUAUAUGAAUUAAAAAUGAUGACAGCUACAGUCUUCGCUCUAACUUUUGCUUUUGUCCCCAAAGUGCAACGAGAAAUAAGGUGAUAGAUGCUUCGAAUACGGAGGCAUAUUUGUCAAGUUAUGUAAGUGUGUGUGUGUGUGUGUGUGUGUGUGUGUAUGCUACCUCAUAAUAAAGAGUGUGUUUGGUUGCGUGUUGUAGACUCUGUGAUUAGCUGUAGACUCUUGUGGGGGGUUAACGGGGUCUGGACUGUCUGGUUUGGGUUUUGCUGAAGUUUACCCUCGGCCUCUCUGCUGCAGCCAUCUGUUGAGAGAGUGUCAGGAUGAACCCACUCCACUCCUGAGCGUGUGUGUGUGUGUGGGUGUGUGUGUGUGUGUGUGUGUGUGUGUGUGUGUGUGUGUGUGUGUGUGUGUGUUCACAGCAGGGGUGGAUUGGCAAGAUUAGGAGAGUUGGCUACUUCAACCCCCUUCCUCCUCCUCCUCCUCCUCCUCCCCUGAUGCACCUCCUUCCCCUUCUUUCGAGGGGCCUCGACCCGGGCGCAUGCCACGCGUUCACGGCUGUCCUGCACACACACACACACACACACACACACUCGGACACAGAAGCAGAGAGAGGGGAUCAUGGUCGGCUCUAACCCACCUAAUUCUCUCUAAUGGGUUCUCUAUUCAGGGAUUAACUCUCUAAGUCCACACACACACACACACACACACACACAUUCAGUGGGUCCACCGUGCGCUGACCCACAGUGUAACCGUCAUUUGGUAACAGAUCGUCACACUCUUUCUCUCACACACACACACACACACACACUCAGACACACAAAGGAAAUGGACAAUAGCUGAUCUCUUCACAGUGAUUUGGCGAGGCAUCAAAUGGCCUGUGGGCCGCAAUUAAAAUGUUUGGGACUCAGGGGAGGACAGGAGAGGAGUGAGGGGGGAGAAAAAGAGGAGGAGGAGGAGGAGAGGAAAGAGUUUAACACUCAGGGAAGCUUGAUCUGGAUGAACUCUCUCUCUCUCUCUCUCUCUCUCUCUCUCUCUGUGUCUUGGUGUGAUCGUCUUAUCAGGGCUUUCUCACAGAUACUGCAUGUUUCUUGAUCGUGUCACCUCCUUAAAUUUUCCC